UUUUUUUUUUUUUUUGAAUAUCUUACGUGAUUAAAUGGUUUUAUUUUUCCUUAUGCACUAUGUUUAUCAAUUAUGGGAUUUAUUUCAAUGAUUAUUGAAUUCGGUAUAGCAAGCAUGAGUUUAGAUUUGUGAAAUAUUAUUUCAACAAUUAUUGAAUAUUGUUUUGGACUGGAUAAAUUAUGUUUUAAAUUGUGACAGGCAAUUUGCAUGAAUAAAAUACAAAAUUUUAUUUUGUAUUGUGAUGAGCAUAAAAAA
rnacentral:misc_RNA from 1 species